UACGUAGGGCGCAAGCGUUGUCCGGAAUUAUUGGGCGUAAAGAGCUCGUAGGCGGCCUGUUGCGUCCGCUGUGAAAUCCCGGGGCUCAACCCCGGGCGUGCAGUGGAUACGGGCUGGCUGGAGGCAGGCAGGGGAGAACGGAAUUCCUGGUGUAGCGGUGAAAUGCGCAGAUAUCAGGAGGAACACCGGUGGCGAAGGCGGUUCUCUGGGCCUUUACUGACGCUGAGGAGCGAAAGCGUGGGGAGCAAACAGG
rnacentral:rRNA from 1 species